rnacentral:rRNA from 1 species
AUUGAACGCUGGCGGCAGGCCUAACACAUGCAAGUCGAACGAGUGGCGGACGGGUGAGUAAUGUAUCGGAACGUGCCUGAUGGCGGGGGAUAACUACUGGAAAGAGUGGCUAAUACCGCAUACCAUCGGAUGUGCCCAUAUCGGAUUAGCUAGUAGGUGGGGUAACGGCUCACCUAGGCGACGAUCCCUAGCUGGUCUGAGAGGAUGACCAGCCACACUGGAAAUGAGACACGGCCCAGACUCCUACGGGAGGCAGCAGUGGGGAAUAUUGGACAAUGGGCGAAAGCCUGAUGCAGCCAUGCCGCGUGUAUGAAGAAGGCCUUCGGGUUGUAAAGUACUUUAAGCAGAGAGGCGGUAUCCGAAGAAGAAGCACCGGCUAACUACGUGCCAGCCGCCGCGGUAAUAC